UAAAGUAUUUUGUAAACUCAAUUUGCGGAAGAAAAAAAUUUGUUCGAUACAGAAAUUUGGCAUAGAGGUUGCUAAUGGCUCCUAAUGAAAGAAUAUGAAGUGAAAUUGGAAAAUUUUUCAUCUGGAGGUACCCGAAGGGGUGACCUAUACCGAUUUUUCAAAAUCAUCCAAUCGAGCUGAAAUUUGGUAUAGAGGCUGCUAAAGGCUCCUAAUGGAAGAAUAUGAAGUGGAAUUGGUAAAAAAUCACAUCCGGGACCCGUUGGGGUGACCCAUACCGAUUUUCAUAACUUGUCUCAAAAAGCUAACUUGUCUCAAAAAGCUGACGGUGAUAGCUUCUCAUGAACGAAUAUGAAGUCAAAGAUGAACAAAAAAUAACCAGAUGGGCAAUAAGGGAGGGGCACCGAUUCCGAUUUCUAAGAAGUUAUAUAUUCAGCUAAGAUUUAGUGUGAUUUAGGAUUAGAAUUUAGGAGGGUUGAAUUUCGAAAUUUUUAUAGGAACAGCCUUCACUGUUCGUGGUAUUUAUUAUAUCAAUAAAUGCAGCUCCACAAAUUUCUUCCAUUAAUUUCCGUUUUCUGGAAAUGAUCGGCAUUUUGUUUCAAUUAUCAGAUAAAUUUUUACGAAAAUAAUUGCGAAAGUGAAUUCACGGGAAGCUGUUUGUAAACGUUUGUAAGUUUACGGAUUUUACGCUGUUUACGUAGUUACCAAGGGUGCGUGAAUACCCUCAGUGUAUAUGUAUGUACUCGAAAGACCGUAUCAACGUCCCAACAACUGACACGGGGAUAGAAUUGCUGGUCCGAGUCCCAAAUUACUGACGCGUUGUCUAUAAGUAGUGAAUUAAAGUAAAAAAUUAAUAAAUGUAGCAAUAACUUGCAACACAUGCCUAAUUACCCUCAUAUUUAUAUAUAUUACGCAAGAUUAAACUUGCCUCGGUCCAUGCAGUUGCCACAUUUAGCGAUUUCACCCAACCCGAGGCUGGUGUAGUGUUGUUCAUUAGGGUUUUUAAUUGAUGAAUGUCCUUGUUAUCGUUGGUAAAAUCGAUACUUUGGACGAUCACGUUAUGAGUAUAUGUACAUAUAUGCAAAAGCUUGAUUAAUUCGUGCAAAUGCAUAAUCUUAGAACGUAUCGUAGCCCAUGGAUUAGGUCUUUGGAUUUGUUGUAUGAUCGAGACCUUAUACCCUAGGGAACCGCUUUAAGAGGUAAAGCGGAGUAUUUGCUUAAUUAAGAAAUAUUGUGCAUUCAGCUCCUUUUAUGAAGAAUAAUAAAAUCACCAGCAGGUUAUAACUUCAUAGUCACCCGUGAUCCCCUAGGGAUGUUGGAUAUUCUCAUUUGCGAAGCCAAUGUUAAACUGGUCUGAACCGGUUGGGGACGGAAAAGUGGCUUUUUAUAUAAUUUCGGAAAUCAUCUUAUUAUGUCGGUCGUGUAUAAUAUCGACAUUUAUAUAAUACAAUCUUUUAUGAUACAUAUACACAUCUACAUACAUGUAGAUAUUCUUCAUAAUUUUUUCUUUAUAUUAAUCUUUUCACGCUAUAUUCUAUGCUCCUUAUGACAGUGCACUUCUACGCGUUUAGUUUUGAGUAUUGGUACAAACAUUUUUUGUCACUUCGUAAGACUGAUGGUGGGGUUCGUUUAGAUUUGUUGUUACUGAAAUGGGACAAAAAAACACGUUCUUGAGUUAUCUUUCUUCCCUAUAAAAUGUAAAAAAAAUAAGUUAUAAUUUUACUUGUAAUAUUGGAUCCACUAACGAACUAUACAUAUUUUCUAAGUACACUCUAAGAAAUUGGGUGAUCGGUGUUAUUACCGCGCGAGUGGAGAUAGCGAGCAUCACCGUAAUGGUGAUAAACCUAUCACCGAAAUUUGUCACCAUUGCUGGUGAUCGCCACUACCACCGCACCAUGGUGGUAGCUUCGCUAUACACGUGACUUGCAGAGGGGCAAGUUUGUCCUACUCCACAUACCAGAAACAGCAGCGGAGUUGCAAUGGUAAAAUUACUUCGUAUUUCAAAGUUUAAGAGGAAAAAAAUAAUGCCGUGCCCAAACAGUUAUCGUGAAUUUAUUGACACAGGUAAAAAAAAUUAAAAGUUAAAAGUUAGCUAAUUUUGGCCAAGUUAAUUUUGCUUGAUUUCUAGUUGGAGAGAAAUUUAACUUGGAUGUGGAUCUGGAGGACCAGAAUGUGCAGAAAUUGAAGGAUUUUGACGAGGUAAUAUUUGCAUAAAAUUUAGUUGCUUAUUUGUUGAAUCUGUACAUAAUUAAUUAAUAUAUUUUUUUCUCAUUGGUCGGCCAACUGUGAUCAAUCUGGAGUCUAUGUACAUAUAACUCACGAAUGUGGUCACUGGUUGCACUUAAAAAAAUCUCGAUAGUACAACGGAAUCUCUGCAAAUAAGUAAAUAUGUGGCAAAGUUGUUUUAACGUCAGUGUCCAAUGUCGUGAGUCGUGACUGGAAACUAUUCACAAUUUCAUUUGCUGGUGCAGUUCCACAAUGGCGAGGGACAUACAUAGGUUUUACAUAUAUAGAUACAUACAAAAUAUUAAUUAUCUUUUUAGAUAUUUAAAUAAAGCAAUAAAUUGUGAAAAAUGUGACAUUUUUGUAUGAAAUACUGAAAUUAUUUGUAUUUAUCUAUCACCAGACAGUGAAAAGGCGAGCUAAUUAUGGUGGUGGCAUAUCACCGAGCGGUGAUAAAAAAUGUACAUCCUUCUACCACCACCCGGUAGAUGUCUACCACCACGAUGGUGAUGGCACUUUCUAUCACCGCGCGGUGGUUGGUGACCACCAUUGCGGUAGAGUCACAUAUAGUCACCGCUCGGUGAUAGUCCGGUGGUAAAAUUUCUUAGAGUGUAUGCACUUAUCUCAUUGAUCGUAGGAAUGGGGCAAUUUCGAAAUAUGUAAUCAGUACGCAGAUUAAAGCAUAUAAUUUUUACGGUAUAAUUUAUUUGCUGCAAAUUUUGACAUUACUUCACCGUAAAGAAACGUUUUUCCCUAUUCCAUAAAUUUUUUGUGUUCAUAUUUUUUUAAAGAAAUCGGUUAGGUUAUGUUAGAAUUCCGAUCCUUGUUUCCAUAUUUCUUGAAGAGGUUUUGUAUAAAGAUGACGGGAACAUACAAAAUUUGACAUUGUAUCUCAUACAUGAAGCACGACUCUAUAUUAACUCUGUAAUACGUGUCCCUGAAUUUAUUUAGUCAGCCAAUUACAUAAGUCAACAAAUUGGUUUUGAUGUAUGCAAUAUUAUGGUAAUUCACGCAGUCCUUUGCUAACUUUGUAAAAUCAGUUAGUUUUGUAAAAUAAUUUUGCAAAUUAAAACCUACCUUCGAUUUAAGUAAAUUAUAAAAAAUGUAAUCUAAUUUUCCUUCAAGAUAUUUGUAAAAGUUUACAAGUUUACUGAUUUUACAAAGUUACCAAGGACUACGUGAAUUAACUUAGGUAUGUAUUAUUUAUGUUACAAAUACACUAAUAAGUUUAGAUUUCAAUUCAUACGUUGGACAUAUGCAAAUAUGUGCCCAGAUGUCAAUAAUUAGAUGUACUCAAACCCUCAUAACAAAGCUAGUAAAUAAAUAAAUUUAUUCUUUGUGUGUCAA